AUUGAACGCUGGCGGCAGGCCUAACACAUGCAAGUCGAGCGAGCGGCGGACGGGUGAGUAAUGUAUGGGGAUCUGCCCGAUAGAGGGGGAUAACUACUGGAAACGGUGGCUAAUACCGCAUACUAUCGGAUGAACCCAUAUGGGAUUAGCUAGUAGGUGGGGAAAAGGCUCACCUAGGCGACGAUCUCUAGCUGGUCUGAGAGGAUGAUCAGCGACACGGGAAAUGAGACACGGGCCAGAUCCCGAGGGGAGGCAGCGGUGGGGAAUAUGGCAAAAUGGGCGAAAGCCGGAUGCAGCCAUGCCGCGUGUGUGAAGAAGGCCUUCGGGUUGUAAAGCACUUUCAGCGAGGAGGGGUGACUCGCAGAAGAAGCACCGGCUAACUCCGUGCCAGCCGCCGCGGUAAUC
rnacentral:rRNA from 1 species